UACGAAGGGGGCGAGCGUUGUUCGGAUUUACUGGGCGUAAAGGGCGCGUAGGCGGCGCGAGAAGUCGAGUGUGAAAGCCCCGGGCUCAACCUGGGAAUUGCGUUCGAUACUCUAGUGCUUGAGUUCGGGAGAGGAGCGUGGAAUUCCCAGUGUAGAGGUGAAAUUCGUAGAUAUUGGGAAGAACACCGGUGGCGAAGGCGGCGCUCUGGACCGAGACUGACGCUGAGGCGCGAAAAGCGUGGGGAGCAAACAGG
rnacentral:rRNA from 1 species